rnacentral:lncRNA from 1 species
GGUUUGAGGAGCUCACUGGGGCUUAGGCAUGAAAUAGGCGUCCAGACACCUGCCUGUGGCAGCAGUGCAUAUAUCCAGAGGCAGAAAGUUGGGCAUGUAGGGGACUUUUACAGCAACCAUUUAGGCACAGAGUGGGUAUAUGUGCCUAUAGCCUUAGGCAGCAGCUGAGCAGAUGUUUUGUGGAUUGCAGGGCUCCUAAAGCUGGACUUUGCAUGAGUAAGUCCCUUUGUGGCUCUGGCCCAACAUCCUUCUUUCAAGAAUUUUACCCACUGACCUCAUUCUAGUUUUCUCAUUCUCUCUUUCUCAGAUGCUUUAUGGCUCCCUAGCAGCUAAGAAUUUCAGACUGAAGAUCCUGGAAGUGGCACCAUUACCUUCCCAAGCCUGCCUGCCUGCAAAAGUAUGCCUCAGGGAUAUUGCCAAUGGGGUACUUAGAAACACAACUAUUGCUUCAUGAAAUGGAAACUUACCAGAUCCCUUCAUGACUCUGUUGAUCUGGAGUGUGUAUGUUUUCAUCCAUUAAGCCAUCACAAGCCUCAGACAGACUCCACCAAUUCCCCAAACAUUAUUUUUUUCUUAUUUCAUUGAUUCUAAGGCCACAAGGGACCCCUGUGAUCAUCUAACCUGAGCUCCUGUAUAACACAGGGCAUAGAACUUCCCCAAGAUAAUUCCUAGACAGAGCUUUUAGAAAAAACAUCCAAUCUGGAUUUAAAAAUUGUCAGUGAUAAACAAUCCAGCACAACACUUGGUAAAUUGUUCCAAUAUUUAAUUACUGUCACUGUUAAAAAUGUAUGCCUUAUUUCCAGUCUGAACUUGUCUAGCUUCAACUUCCGGUCAUUGGAUAGUGUUAAACCUU